rnacentral:rRNA from 1 species
CGUGGCGGCUGCUUACCAUGCAGUCGACGGAGAUAUCCUUCGGGAUAUUUUAGUGGCGAACGGGUGAGUAACGCGUGGGUAACCUGCCCUUUUAUCGGGGAUAACUUGUCGAAAGGUGAGCUAAUACCGGAUGUGCUGUUUUGAUCACAUGAUCAAGAUAACAAAGGUGGCCUCUAUAUAUAAGCUACCGUAAAAGGAUGGACCCGCGUCUGAUUAGCUAGUUGGUGGGGUAACGGCCUACCAAGGCGACGAUCAGUAGCCGGCCUGAGAGGGUGAACGGCCACACUGGGACUGAGACACGGCCCAGACUCCUACGGGAGGCAGCAGUGGGGAAUCUUCCGCAAUGGACGAAAGUCUGACGGAGCAACGCCGCGUGAGUGACGAAGGUUUUCGGAUUGUAAAACUCUGUCUUUUGGGACGAACGGUUCAUAUGUAAAUAAUGUAUGAAAUUGACGGUACCGAAGGAGGAAGCCCCGGCUAACUACGUGCCAGCAGCCGCGGUAAUACGUAGGGGGCAAGCGUUGUCCGGAAUUAUUGGGCGUAAAGAGCGCGCAGGCGGUUUUGUAAGUCCACCGUGAAAGCUUACGGCUCAACCGUAACGGGUCGGUGGAUACUGCAAGACUUGAGGGCAGGAGAGGAAAGUGGAAUUCCCAGUGUAGCGGUGAAAUGCGUAGAUAUUGGGAGGAACACCAGUGGCGAAGGCGACUUUCUGGACUGUUACUGACGCUGAGGCGCGAAAGCUGGGGAAGUGAACGGGAUUAGAUACCCCGGUAAUCCCAGCCGUAAACGAUGGGUACUAGGUGUAGGGUGUAUCGACCCCCCCUGUGCCGGAGUUAACGCAAUAAGUACCCCGCCUGGGGAGUACGGUCGCAAGACUGAAACUCAAAGGAAUUGACGG